GCAUAAUUAUAAUUUAAAUUUUUUCAAUUUUCUGAUCAGAUACUAUGACACUCUAUUUAUCCUUCUGCUCACCCGUAAAUCCAGAUCAUAGCCAAUCAUAAGCAUCCUGUAACUCUGAGAAGAAAAAGAAAGAUAAAGGGGUGUGAGCUUUACAGCCCAGUAAGAAUUUUCAUAUCACACUGAUAUAGUAAUAUAGUCUGAAAAUAAGGAUAAGCAGUAAAAUAUAAAAUCUCAUGUUUAAUGUCCAGAAUAAUGCAAACAUUCAUAAAUUUUCUGUCUUGUUAAAAUAGAUGCAUCAUCAUAUGUUAACAGGUGAAACCUCUUUUAUUCAAUAAUUAUU
rnacentral:lncRNA from 1 species